GAUGAAGAACGCAGCGAAAUGCGAUACGUAAUGUGAAUUGCAAAUUCAGUGAAUCAUCGAGUCUUUGAACGCACAUUGCGCCCCCUGGUAUUCCGGGGGGCAUGCCUGUCCGAGCGUCAUUGCUGCCCUCAAGCACGGCUUGUGUGUUGGGCCCCGUCCUCCGAUUCCCGGGGACGGGCCCGAAAGGCAGCGGCGGCACCGCGUCCGGUCCUCGAGCGUAUGGGGCUUUGUCACCCGCUCUGUAGGCCCGGCCGGCGCUUGCCGAUCAACCCAAAUUUUUAUCCAGGUUGACCUCGGAUCAGGUAGGGAUACCCGCUGAACUUAAGCAUAUCAAUAAGCGGAGGA
rnacentral:misc_RNA from 1 species